rnacentral:rRNA from 1 species
GCGUUGCUCGGAAUGACUGGGCGUAAAGGGCGCGUAGGCGGUUCGUACAGUUGGGUGUGAAAUCCCUGGGCUUAACCUGGGGGCUGCGUUUGAGACGGUUGGUCUAGAGUUUGGAAGAGGGUCGUGGAAUUCCCAGUGUAGAGGUGAAAUUCGUAGAUAUUGGGAAGAACACCGGUGGCGAAGGCGGCGACCUGGUCCUGGACUGACGCUGAGGCGCGAAAGCGUG